rnacentral:misc_RNA from 1 species
UCAGGAAUCAGCUAUAUCAGGC